CUGGCGGCAGGCCUAACACAUGCAAGUCGAACGGUAACAGGAAGCAGCUUGCUGCUUCGCUGACGAGUGGCGGACGGGUGAGUAAUGUCUGGGAAACUGCCUGAUGGAGGGGGAUAACUACUGGAAACGGUGGCUAAUACCGCAUAACGUCGCAAGACCAAAGAGGGGGACCUUCGGGCCUCUUGCCAUCAGAUGUGCCCAGAUGGGAUUAGCUUGUUGGUGAGGUAACGGCUCACCAAGGCGACGAUCCCUAGCUGGUCUGAGAGGAUGACCAGCCACACUGGAACUGAGACACGGUCCAGACUCCUACGGGAGGCAGCAGUGGGGAAUAUUGCACAAUGGGCGCAAGCCUGAUGCAGCCAUGCCGCGUGUAUGAAGAAGGCCUUCGGGUUGUAAAGUACUUUCAGCGGGGAGGAAGGUGUUGUGGUUAAUAACCGCAGCAAUUGACGUUACCCGCAGAAGAAGCACCGGCUAACUCCGUGCCAGCAGCCGCGGUAAUACGGAGGGUGCAAGCGUUAAUCGGAAUUACUGGGCGUAAAGCGCACGCAGGCGGUCUGUCAAGUCGGAUGUGAAAUCCCCGGGCUCAACCUGGGAACUGCAUUCGAAACUGGCAGGCUUGAGUCUUGUAGAGGGGGGUAGAAUUCCAGGUGUAGCGGUGAAAUGCGUAGAGAUCUGGAGGAAUACCGGUGGCGAAGGCGGCCCCCUGGACAAAGACUGACGCUCAGGUGCGAAAGCGUGGGGAGCAAACAGGAUUAGAUACCCUGGUAGUCCACGCCGUAAACGAUGUCUACUUGGAGGUUGUGCCCUUGAGGCGUGGCUUCCGGAGCUAACGCGUUAAGUAGACCGCCUGGGGAGUACGGCCGCAAGGUUAAAACUCAAAUGAAUUGACGGGGGCCCGCACAAGCGGUGGAGCAUGUGGUUUAAUUCGAUGCAACGCGAAGAACCUUACCUGGUCUUGACAUCCACGGAAGUUUUCAGAGAUGAGAAUGUGCCUUCGGGAACCGUGAGACAGGUGCUGCAUGGCUGUCGUCAG
rnacentral:rRNA from 1 species